rnacentral:rRNA from 1 species
CGGGUGAGAGCGACGCGGUGAUCGCGCCGGUUCGUAUCCAUAUCCGCAUCUGGUCUCCAAGGUUCAAAGCCUCUUGUCGAUAGAAUAAUGUAGGUAAGGGAAGUCGGCAAAUUGGAUCCGUAACUUCGGGACAAGGAUUGGCUCUGAGGAUCGGGGCGUGUCGGGCUUGGUCGGGAAGCGGGUCAGUGCCAACGUGCCGGGCCUGGGCGAGUGUCGUGUUGGUAUCCUUGGCAGCAAUGUCGAGUUUCCCACGAUCCGAACUCGGUCCCGUGCCACUUGGCCUCCCGCGGAUCUUCCUUGCUGCGGGUUUUCGACCAAGCAGACCAGGCUGGGCCGCUUCAGGCCCGCUUGGACGGCUUCGAAUCAAUCCCUUCGGCCGCCAUUCAACGGUCAACUCAGAACUGGCACGGACAAGGAGAAUCCGACUGCCUAAUUAAAGCAAAGCAUUGCGAGGGCUCUAGCCGAGUGCUUACGCAAUGUGAUUUCUGCCCAGUGCUCUGAAUGUCAACGUGUAGAAAUUCAAGCAAGCGCGGGUAAACGGCGGGAGUAACUAUGACUCUCUUAAGGUAGCCAAAUGCCUCGUCAUCCAAUUAGUGACGCGCAUGAAUGGAUUAACGAGAUUCUCACUGUCCCUAUCUACUAUCUAGCGAAACCACAGCCAAGGGAACGGGCUUGGAAACAUUAGCGGGGAAAGAAGACCCUGUUGAGCUUGACUCUAGUCUGG